rnacentral:SRP_RNA from 1 species
CAUUGGCGGUGGAUCCUGCCGUAUCAGAGCAUGCUCACACACGUGCAGAGAUGCCAGCAGGCCCCCCACAACAGCAGCCACGCUUGGUUGCAGAAGAAUUCACCACACGCCUCGAGCAAGGCAAAGAGCGGCUUGCAGAUACAGAGCGUCGCAUGCAGGCUUGCACGUUGGCCUUGGCACGCGAGCGAAGUGCAUACCAGCUGCGCAUU